UCUGCUUCAGCUGUGGGGCCACAGAAGGCAGGACUCGGUGAAGAUCUCCAUCAUGGCCUGGUCCCCUCUCCUCCUCACCCUCAUCGCUCUCUGCACAGGAUCCUGGGCCCAGUCUUUGACUCAGCCCGCCUCAGUGUCUGGGACCCUGGGCCAGACAGUGACCAUCUCCUGCUCUGGAAGCAGCUCCAACAUCGGGUAUAGUAGUGGUAGUUAUGUGGGCUGGCUCCAACAGAUCCCAGGAACAGCCCCCAAAACCCUCAUCUAUAGUAGUAACAAACGAGCCUCAGGGGUCCCAGAUCGAUUCUCUGGCUCCACGUCUGGCAACACAGCCACCCUGACCAUCUCUGGGGUCCAGGCUGAGGACGAGGCUGACUAUUACUGUGCAGCAGGAGACAGCAGCAUUAAUGGUGACACAGUGCUGCAGGCCCGUGGGGAA